ACAAAAUUAGUUUAUAAAAAUAUUAGUUUGUCAAAUUAAAGAAAGAGAAAUUCCUCAAUUAAUAC
rnacentral:tRNA from 1 species